CCUACGGGAGGCUGCAGUGGGGAAUAUUGGACAAUGGGGGGAACCCUGAUCCAGCCAUGCCGCGUGUGUGAAGAAGGCCCUCGGGUUGUAAAGCACUUUCAGUGAGGAAGAACGCCUGGUGGUUAAUACCCAUCAGGAAAGACAUCACUCACAGAAGAAGCACCGGCUAACUCCGUGCCAGCAGCCGCGGUCAUACGGAGGGUGCGAGCGUUAAUCGGAAUUACUGGGCGUAAAGCGCGCGUAGGUGGCUUGAUAAGCCGGUUGUGAAAGCCCCGGGCUCAACCUGGGAACGGCAUCCGGAACUGUCAAGCUAGAGUGCAGGAGAGGAAGGUAGAAUUCCCGGUGUAGCGGUGAAAUGCGUAGAGAUCGGGAGGAAUACCAGUGGCGAAGGCGGCCUUCUGGACUGACACUGACACUGAGGUGCGAAAGCGUGGGUAGCAAACAGGAUUAGAUACCCGUGUAGUC
rnacentral:rRNA from 1 species